AACGCAACUUGCGCCCUCUGGUAUUCCGGAGGGCAUGCCUGUUUGAGUGUCAUGUAGACUCAAUCCCUUGGGUUUCCGAGGAGAUUGGAUUUGGGUGUCUGCCUAAUUGCUGGCUCGCCUUAAAGGACUUAGUGGGGUUAUAGCACUGUAGUCGGCGUAAUAAGUUUCGUUGGUGAAUGUGUUGAGCCUGCUCACAACUGCCCUUGGGCACCUUUUGACUCUGACCUCAAAUCAGGUAGGACUACCCGCUGAACUUAA
rnacentral:misc_RNA from 1 species